rnacentral:rRNA from 1 species
CCCUUAGAUGUCCUGGGCCGCACGCGCGUUACACUGAUGCAUUCAACGAGCUUAUAACCUUGGCCGAGAGGCCUGGGCAAUCUUGUUAACGUGCAUCGUGAUGGGGAUAGAUUAUUGAAAUUAUUAAUCUUGAACGAGGAAUUCCUAGUAAACACAGAUCAUCAAUCUGCAUUGAUUACGUCCCUGCCCUUUGUACACACCGCCCGUCGCACCUACCGAUUGGAUGGUCCGGUGAAGCCUCGGGAUUGUGGUUCUUGCCGCUUUAUUGUGGCGUGACCGCGAGAACUUGUCUAAACCUUAUCAUCUAGAGGAAGGUGAAGUCGUAACA